rnacentral:rRNA from 1 species
UGAACGCUGGCGGCGUGCCUACUACAUGCAAGUCGAGCGAACGGACGAGAAGCUUGCUUCUCUGAUGUUAGCGGCGGACGGGUGAGUAACACGUGGAUAACCUACCUAUAAGACUGGGAUAACUUCGGGAAACCGGAGCUAAUACCGGAUAAUAUUUUGAACCGCAUGGUUCAAAAGUGGAAGACGGUCUUGCUGUCACUUAUAGAUGGAUCCGCGCUGCAUUAGCUAGUUGGUAAGGUAACGGCUUACCAAGGCAACGAUGCAUAGCCGACCUGAGAGGGUGAUCGGCCACACUGGAACUGAGACACGGUCCAGACUCCUACGGGAGGCAGCAGUAGGGAAUCUUCCGCAAUGGGCGAAAGCCUGACGGAGCAACGCCGCGUGAGUGAUGAAGGUCUUCGGAUCGUAAAACUCUGUUAUUAGGGAAGAACAUAUGUGUAAGUAACUGUGCACAUCUUGACGGUACCUAAUCAGAAAGCCACGGCUAACUACGUG